rnacentral:lncRNA from 1 species
UUUUGUACUUGUUUCUAUUUGUGAGAUUCCACAGGGAGGUGCUUUGGGCUGUACAAUAAAAUAAGAUCUAAAUUUGAAUUUGCCAAAUACAUAAGCAUAUGACUAAAUAGGUGGAAAUUUUCUGACUAGGGUCUUCAUCAUCCAUCAAUAGCAAUGCUAUUAGCCUUUGCCUCCCAGAUGAGAGGGGAGUAACUUUCCCCUUUCUCUUCUAUGGAAGCUGUAGUGGUAUGCAUUUACAUAAGCUUGACUUCUUUAUGGAGAAAGGGCAAG